GAAAGGAGCUGACCAUGGCCCUGCAUUCCAAAUAGGAAGACAGAGAUACAGCAAGCUGGAAAAAGCCACCAUUCCACCUUCUCCCUGGACUCCCACACAGAGCUGCCUGCUUCAGAGGGGGCUGAAGUCCCUCCAUCCACUGUAACACAACACCAUCAACAAGCUCUGUUACACUCAAACUCAUCUGCGUUAUAUUCUGUUACAUUUUUAUUUUCAGUGACUGCUGCAAAAAGUUAUUUUUGGUUCACAUAAUUGAGAUUUGAGUUCAUGAUGUGAUUUAAGAUCAUUAUGUAGUUUAUGGGUAUGUUACUCAUUCAUAAGCAUACUGUAUGUUAAAUUAAUCCAGAUUAGAAAAUGUAUGUUUAUGUUUUUCCAGAUGGUUAUUAAAUACUUAAAAUCAAUAAAAUGUUUUUAAAGGAGUACUUUAGUAUACAAAAUAUAAAGCAUUAAGUAUAAACUUGUGUACUGCAUUAUAUUAACUGUUUGAAAGAGUGUAGAAGCUUUUCAACAUAUAUUAAAAUUGUUAC